rnacentral:rRNA from 1 species
UACGUAGGGUGCGAGCGUUAAUCGGAAUUACUGGGCGUAAAGCGUGCGCAGGCGGUUCGUUGUGUCGGCGGUGAAAGCCCUGGGCUCAACCUGGGAAUGGCAUUGGAUACUGGCGACCUAGAGUGCGGUAGAGGGGUGUGGAAUUCCCGGUGUAGCAGUGAAAUGCGUAGAUAUCGGGAGGAACAUCUGUGGCGAAGGCGACACCCUGGAUCAGCACUGACACUGAGGCACGAAAGCGUGGGGAGCAAACAGG